rnacentral:tRNA from 1 species
GCCGGGGUGCCCGAGCGGCCCAAGGGGCUGGCCUGGAGAGCCAGUGGGCGGAAGCCCGCGCGGGUUCAAAUCCCGCCCCCGGCGCCA